rnacentral:rRNA from 1 species
GGGAUUGGACAAUGGGCGCAAGCCUGAUCCAGCCAUGCCGCGUGUGUGAUGAAGGCCUUAGGGUCGUAAAGCUCUUUCGCCAGAGAUGAUAAUGACGGUAUCUGGAGAAGAAACCCCGGCUACUCG